rnacentral:tRNA from 11 species
UAGCUCAGUUAGCAAAGCGUUGGACCUCUACGCUGGCGGUCGCGGGUUCGAGCCCCGU